UACGGGAGGCAGCAGUGGGGAAUAUUGCACAAUGGGCGCAAGCCUGAUGCAGCCAUGCCGCGUGUAUGAAGAAGGCCUUCGGGUUGUAAAGUACUUUCAGUCGUGAGGAAGGUGUUAAGGUUAAUAACCUUAGCAAUUGACGUUAGCGACAGAAGAAGCACCGGCUAACUCCGUGCCAGCAGCCGCGGUAAUACGGAGGGUGCGAGCGUUAAUCGGAAUUACUGGGCGUAAAGGGCACGCAGGCGGUUAAUUAAGUUGGAUGUGAAAUCCCCGGGCUUAACCUGGGAAUGGCAUUCAAGACUGGUUAGCUAGAGUCUUGUAGAGGGGGUAGAAUUCCAUGUGUAGCGGUGAAAUGCGUAGAGAUGUGGAGGAAGUACCGGUGGCGAAGGCGGCCCCGUGGACAAAGACUGACGCUCAUGUGCGA
rnacentral:rRNA from 1 species